UACGUAGGGUGCAAGCGUUAAUCGGAAUUACUGGGCGUAAAGCGUGCGCAGGCGGUGAUGUAAGACAGGUGUGAAAUCCCCGGGCUUAACCUGGGAACUGCAUUUGUGACUGCAUCGCUGGAGUGCGGCAGAGGGGGAUGGAAUUCCGCGUGUAGCAGUGAAAUGCGUAGAGAUGCGGAGGAACACCGAUGGCGAAGGCAGCCCCCUGGGCCAAUACUGACGCUCAGGCACGAAAGCGUGGGGAGCGAAUGGG
rnacentral:rRNA from 1 species